AAAGCUCCUACUCUGUCUGACCUGACAAGCCACCUCAAGUGGACAAGGCACUUACCAACAGAGAUUGCUGAUUUGCACCUGAAACAAGAGAUUCACUGCUGCUAAGCAUGGCUCAGACCAACUCAUUCUUCAUGCUGAUCUCCUCCCUGAUGUUCCUGUCUCUGAGCCAAGGCCAGGAGUCCCAGACAGAGCUGCCUAAUCCCCGAAUCAGCUGCCCAGAAGGCACCAAUGCCUAUCACUCCUACUGCUACUACUUUAAUGAAGACCCUGAGACCUGGGUUGAUGCAGAUCUCUACUGCCAGAACAUGAAUUCAGGCAACCUGGUGUCUGUGCUCACCCAGGCGGAGGGUGCCUUCGUGGCCUCACUGAUUAAGGAGAGUAGCACUGAUGACAGCAAUGUCUGGAUUGGCCUCCAUGACCCCAAAAAGGUCAGUCUGCAGCCUCCUCUAUCUCCUUAUAAACAUUUUUGAGAGGUAAGAGGGACGUUUAAGGUCUGGCACCUCGAACGCCAACUUUUAUCUUUUUGUUUGUUUAAAUAAAAGCAACGUCUUUAUAGAUCUUAUAAUGUAUGAGUUGUGAAGUUCAGUGUAGGUAGUUAGAGACAUGAGCUGAAGGCUGAAUUUUCUGGGCUCCUGGGAAUUCAUGCACACACUCAUUGUGUCUACUUCUAGAAAUGCAUCUUUAUGUACAACUUCUUCCCUAUUUUGCUAUUGUCUGUCUUGGAAGAGGUCCCCCUGUAGACUAUAUAGAAAAUGAGCAGUGGAGGAGAAUCUACUGCUAGCAUUUGUUAUACAUUUUAUACAAGUGUAUAAAACUGUACAGUAUAUUAUUCAGUUUAACACUGUAAAUAGUAUAUCAACAACUACUCUACAGCCAAUGUUAUGCUGGAUGUGAGAGUUCUGAGCUUCAGGAAAAAAAAUCAGGAACCACUCUCUGUAAUGGGCUUUUAUGGGUCUCUGUAUCAAACUCUGAACACUUAUUAUUUGCUGGAAGAGGAGGAGGAAUUUGGAUAUUCCAGAGAAGGAGAAGCUUAGAGCAAAAGCAGAGGAAAUGAGAUGAUAUUCAUGGUGACAACAAUGUUUAUUCUUUCCACUAUAUCUUGGCGUGUUUCUGAGUGUGCACACAGACCUGGUUAUUCUAUUGAUUUUUGAGUGACCAUGGCCCCUGUUCUGGCCCUUCUCCAUCUAGAACCGCCGCUGGCACUGGAGCAGUGGAUCCCUGGUCUCCUACAAGUCCUGGGACACUGGAGCCC
rnacentral:sRNA from 1 species